GACGAACGCUGGCGGCGUGCUUAACACAUGCAAGUCGAACGGAAAGGCCCUGCUUUUGUUGGGUGCUCGAGUGGCGAACGGGUGAGUAACACGUGAGUAUCCUGCCCUUGACUUUGGGAUAACUUCAGGAAACUGGGGCUAAUACCGGAUAGGAUCUCCUGCUGCAUGUUGUGGGUUGGAAAGUUUCGGCGGUUGGGGAUGGACUCGCGGCUUAUCAGCUUGUUGGUGGGGUAGUGGCUUACCAAGGCUUUGACGGGUAGCCGGCCUGGGAGGGUGACCGGCCACAUGGGGACUGAGAUACGGCCCAGACUCCUACGGGAGGCAGCAGUGGGGAAUAUUGCACAAUGGGCGGAAGCCUGAUGCAGCAACGCCGCGUGCGGGAUGACGGCCUUCGGGUUGUAAACCGCUUUCGCCUGUGACGAAGCGUGAGUGACGGUAAUGGGUAAAGAAGCACCGGCUAACUACGUG
rnacentral:rRNA from 1 species